rfam:Myotis lucifugus cont2.9969, whole genome shotgun sequence.
GAGAUAACCCUAUAGGGAAAGACUUGCUUCAGUGGGGCUUUGGUGCUCACAGAGUCUGCCCCUUGAGUGUGUCACU